GGGGCGGACGAGCAUCUCUACGACGACCCGGACGCCGCCGCCAUCCCAGCGCUCCUCGACUCCCGCUUCGACGGCGAGCAGGUCGACGCUCAAGCGCCUCCUGGCCCUCCUCUCGCAGGGCUUCUACGUCGCCCGCCUCUUCCCGCAGGUCCCGCGUCCCACUCCUCGUCUCGUCUCAUCUCAUCUCGCGUUUGCAUCACAAUCUUGUUAUAG
rnacentral:rRNA from 1 species